rfam:Triticum aestivum genome assembly, contig: Triticum_aestivum_CS42_TGACv1_scaffold_542628_6DS
CUUAUACUCCCUCCGUCCGAAAAAGCUUGUCCCUCAAAUGGAUGUAUCUAGCAACAAGUUAGUGCUAGAUACAUCCAUUUGGGAAACAAGCUUGGGACAAGUUUUUUGGGAUGGAUGGAGUAGCUC